GCUUGUCUCAAAGAUUAAGCCAUGCAUGUCUAAGUUCAUGCCGUAUUAAGGCGAAACCGCGAAUGGCUCAUUAAAUCAGUUAUGGUUCCUUGGAUCGUACUUUACUACUUGGAUAACUGUGGCAAUUCUAGAGCUAAUACAUGCAGCAGAGCUCCGACCUUCGGGGACGAGCGCUUUUAUUAGACCAAAACCGAUCGAGGUACUUAGUGCUUCGUUAUUAUGGUGACUCUGUAUAACUUUGGGCUGAUCGCACGGUCUUAGUGCCGGCGACGUAUCUUUCAAGUGUCUGCCUUAUCAACUGUCGAUGGUAGGUUA
rnacentral:rRNA from 1 species